rnacentral:rRNA from 1 species
AUUGAACGCUGGCGGCAGGCCUAACACAUGCAAGUCGAACGGUAGCACAGAGAGCUUGCUCUCGGGUGACGAGUGGCGGACGGGUGAGUAAUGUCUGGGAAACUGCCUGAUGGAGGGGGAUAACUACUGGAAACGGUAGCUAAUACCGCAUAAUGUCGCAAGACCAAAGAGGGGGGGAACCCUUCGGGGCCUCUUGCCAUCAGAUGUGCCCAGAUGGGAUUAG